CUCAUAACUUACUGAUAGUCACCAAGUUGUAGUACUAUAUAGUGAAGUGAGUGGCCCACUAGGGAACCUGAACUGCCAUUUUAACAGACAGACGUGGUUGCUGAAACGGUAAACCAAAUCGAAUUGGAGGACCUAUUUUCUGGGUUGCCUGGGCAGUCUCCAUGGUCUUCAUGUCCUUUUGUCCUGAGGCUGAAGCCUUGCAAAGGAGGAAAGGAGACCAAGGAGCUGCUCUUCCAUGCAAGUGGAGAUGACUGCUGUAAAUACUGAAUCCAGACAGGCUGGAGAGCUUACAUAUCUGGAUUUCAAACAGCAAAGGAGUAUGUCUGUGGAUCAGAAAUGUGAGAC